rnacentral:rRNA from 1 species
GAUGAACGCUGGCGGCGUGCCUAAUACAUGCAAGUCGAGCGAACAGAUGAGGAGCUUGCUCCUCUGACGUUAGCGGCGGACGGGUGAGUAACACGUGGAUAACCUACCUAUAAGACUGGGAUAACUUCGGGAAACCGGAGCUAAUACCGGAUAAUAUAUUGAACCGCAUGGUUCAAUAGUGAAAGACGGUUUUGCUGUCACUUAUAGAUGUAUCCGCGCCGCAUUAGCUAGUUGGUAAGGUAACGGCUUACCAAGGCAACGAUGCGUAGCCGACCUGAGAGGGUGAUCGGCCACACUGGAACUGAGACACGGUCCCGACUCCUACGGGAGGCAGCAGUAGGGAAUCUUCCGCAAUGGGCGAAAGCCUGACGGAGCAACGCCGCGUGAGUGAUGAAGGUCUUCGGAUCGUAAAACUCUGUUAUUAGGGAAGAACAAAUGUGUAAGUAACUAUGCACGUCUUGACGGUACCUAAUCAGAAAGCCACGGCUAACUACGUG